GAGACACCCUUCUGGGGCAAGACUUGCUUCAGUGGGGCUUUGGUGCUCACUGAGUCUGCCCCCUGCGUGUGUCCUU
rnacentral:pre_miRNA from 1 species